GCCUGAGUGGCUCAGUCAGUUGGGCGUCUGACUUCUGCUCAGGUCACGAUCUUUCGGUUCAUGGGUUUGAGCCCCGUGUCGGGUU
rnacentral:tRNA from 1 species